AUUGAACGCUGGCGGCAGGCCUAACACAUGCAAGUCGAACGAGUGGCGGACGGGUGAGUAAUGUCUGGGAAAAUGCCUGAGGGAGGGGGAUAACGACCGGAAACGGUAGCUAAUACCGCAUACCAUCAGAUGUGCCCAGAUGGGAUUAGCUUGCUGGGGGGGUGACGGCUCACCAAGGCGACGAACCCUAGCUGGUCUGAGAGGAUGACCAGCCACGCGGGAACUGAGACACGGUCCAUACUCCUACGGGUGGCAGCAGUGGGGAAUAUUGCACAAGAGGCGAAAGCCUGCUGCAGCCAUGCCGCGUGUAUGUAGGAGGCCUUCGGGUUGUAAAGUACUUUCAGCGGGGAGGCGUUACCCGCAGAAUAAGCACCGGCUAACUCCGUGCCAGCAGCCGCGGUAAUAG
rnacentral:rRNA from 1 species